GCAGUCGAACGCUUCUUUUUCCACCGGAGCUUGCUCCACCGGAAAAAGAGGAGUGGCGAACGGGUGAGUAACACGUGGGUAACCUGCCCAUCAGAAGGGGAUAACACUUGGAAACAGGUGCUAAUACCGUAUAACAAUCAAAACCGCAUGGUUUUGAUUUGAAAGGCGCUUUCGGGUGUCGCUGAUGGAUGGACCCGCGGUGCAUUAGCUAGUUGGUGAGGUAACGGCUCACCAAGGCCACGAUGCAUAGCCGACCUGAGAGGGUGAUCGGCCACAUUGGGACUGAGACACGGCCCAAACUCCUACGGGAGGCAGCAGUAGGGAAUCUUCGGCAAUGGACGAAAGUCUGACCGAGCAACGCCGCGUGAGUGAAGAAGGUUUUCGGAUCGUAAAACUCUGUUGUUAGAGAAGAACAAGGAUGAGAGUAACUGUUCAUCCCUUGACGGUAUCUAACCAGAAAGCCACGGCUAACUACGUGCCAGCAGCCGCGGUAAUACGUAGGUGGCAAGCGUUGUCCGGAUUUAUUGGGCGUAAAGCGAGCGCAUGCGGUUUCUUAAGUCUGAUGUGAAAGCCCCCGGCUCAACCGGGGAGGGUCAUUGGAAACUGGGAGACUUGAGUGCAGAACACGAGAGUGGAAUUCCAUGUGUAGCGGUGAAAUGCGUAAAUAUAUGGAGGAACACCAGUGUGCGAACGCGGCUCUCUGGUCUGUAACUGACUCUCAGACUCAAGAAGCUGCGUAGCACACAGGAGUACAUCCUCUGG
rnacentral:rRNA from 1 species